rnacentral:rRNA from 1 species
UUGAACGCUGGCGGCAGGCCUAACACAUGCAAGUCGCACGGUAACAGGAAGCAGCUUGCUGCUUCGCUGACGAGUGGCGGACGGGUGAGUAAUGUCUGGGAAGCUGCCUGAUGGAGGGGGAUAACUACUGGAAACGGUAGCUAAUACCGCAUAAUGUCGCAAGACCAAAGAGGGGGACCUUCGGGCCUCUUGCCAUCGGAUGUGCCCAGAUGGGAUUAGCUUGUUGGUGGGGUAACGGCUCACCAAGGCGACGAUCCCUAGCUGGUCUGAGAGGAUGACCAGCCACACUGGAACUGAGACACGGUCCAGACUCCUACGGGAGGCAGCAGUGGGGAAUAUUGCACAAUGGGCGCAAGCCUGAUGCAGCCAUGCCGCGUGUAUGAAGAAGGCCUUCGGGUUGUAAAGUACUUUCAGCGGGGAGGAAGGGAGUAAAGUUAAUACCUUUGCUCAGUGACGUUACCCGCAGAAGAAGCACCGGCUAACUCCG